GGAGCAGCUGGCUGACUUCGGCAGGCGGCUCACUGUUUGCACCUUGCAGCGAGCAGCCAGCUGUGCAGAGUCCCACUGAGGAGAGUUUUACAUCAUUUCUUCUUUAAAAUUUGUACAGAGGGGUGUGCUUUGAUUGAAGGGGCGUGCAAAGAGAAAACAGUGAUUGGGAAGACUUCCAUGGCUGCACAGGGGUCAGGGAUGUUUACCCUGUGCCAGAAAUGAACACCCACCACUGUCGGGUCUUACCCAAGGAGACUCUGUGGAGUACCAGGAAGUUGGGAGCCUAAAGACUGGGUAACCCGGAGUAUAACUAUAUACCACGGAACAAAGGUCAGAGGCCAUGAUAAACAAUGAAAGAAAGUAACAGUGCACACUAUGGAUAUACAGACUUGAAAACCUGAAAUCGGUAGGCAAAGACACAAUCCAGAAUCAGGCUAAAAGUUGGGGCUGGUGACAAACAAACAGAGUCAAGGACAGGCCAAGGGUCAGAACUGGGGAAUCCAAGAACAGGACUAGGAAGGGCACAGGACAACUGGAACAAGGCAGGGAGCUGGAACAGGACAUGGAAUCAGGAGCUUGGAACCAGAAGGGGGUUUACAAGAUCAAUGAUACUAGAAUACAGGAUGAAGGAACACAAGAAUCAGAGGCAAGAUCACUGCGACAGCUUAAUGACCAAGCAAGGUGCAGUGGUCAGGGGCAAACUUAAAAAUGGGCUUAAUUGAUAAUGGACAACACAUAAGGAUAAUGAGGUGGGCAGAGGGAAAGGAGCAGACAGAGAAAUAUAAGAGGAGAAUAACGGGUACAACAAGAAUUCAAGGCAAUGUAACGCUAAGGACCUCCAGUGGCACAACAGAUAAAUGCCUAAGUAAGUUUGUACAGAGUCCAGAGUUUGAAGCCCCAUAAGUCCUGACAAUCACAAGCACCCAGUGUAAGUGUAACACUAGCAAAGAGCCAGAAUACAGGGCAAAGUCUCUUGUUAGUGAUGGUAUUACACUGGCACAAACAGUACAAACCUUUCAUACCUGCGAAUGAUAAUCUGACAAUUUCUUUGUAAUGACAAUUUGCA